rnacentral:rRNA from 1 species
CCAAAUAGUCUGACUGACAGUAGAUCAUUG